GACAGAGGGUGCAAACGUUGCUCGGAAUCACUGGGCGUAAAGGGCGCGUAGGCGGGAAUGUAAGUCGGGCGUGAAAUCCCCAGGCUCAACCUGGGAACUGCACUCGAAACUGCGUUUCUUGAGUAUCGGAGAGGAAAGCGGAAUUCCUGGUGUAGAGGUGAAAUUCGUAGAUAUCAGGAGGAACACCAGUGGCGAAGGCGGCUUUCUGGACGGUAACUGACGCUGAGG
rnacentral:rRNA from 1 species